rnacentral:lncRNA from 1 species
CUGGCCUGUAAAAUUUCUGUAAAUUUAACAGUUGGUCUCUCGCUGGCCAACCUAAGCCUGCUCUAAAUUCACCGGCUUAAUACAAUAUGAAGUGAUAAAUGAGGCUUCAAAUGUAAACAGGGACAUAUCUGCUUAGGCUCUUGAAAACCAAUGCAAGGAGUUUUUAUUUCAUUUAAAAAAUAAAGAAAAACCACUGGAGGGUUGAAAUCCAAAGAGAGAUAUGACUCAAUUUGUGCUUUAAAACGUUCCCUCUCAGUGCUCCAGAGAGUUGAUUUCAAAAAGGUAGAACAAAAGCAGUGAGACCAGCCAAAAGCUACUGUAAAUAGUGUGGGGACAGAUAAUGAAGACUUGGAAAUAAAUGGUGCACUGGAGGGGGUGGUGAUUCCAAGGCAGAUUGACAGAGUUUAUUGCUGUUCUGAGGUGGGGGCACCAAAGCCUGUAACUCAGACAAGAAUUCCUACAUAUCACAGACAUUGGAACACAGAAGGCCUUCUUUGUUCUCUUUUAGAGCCUAAGAAAGUUUCCUGAAAGCUCAGUAAUGAAGGAGAUACAGAGAAGACCAGAUACUGAACCAGUUCCUCCUUUCCUCCCAUGCAGUCGGGAUGAAGUCAAGACACAUCAGCUUUGAAGGAUAUAAAAAAUGGCAUCCUGUGAGCAUCAGAUCAUGGGAAGGACCAUAUCAAUGUCUGGCUGAAAGAACCAACUACAUGCAACUUGCCCAGUUGUCAGAAAAAAAUACCCUGCCCUGCAAAACAGCAUCUGUUCCAUUUCUGCCCUCGCUAAGAGCCAGCUGUUAUUCUCACCUGCUGAACAGGUUCUCUCAAGAUGAACUCUCACUAGGGGUGAAGCAAAUAAAGACAAUCAAGACAGACAUCAAGCUGCCUCAGACUUUUUUUUUCUGCUGCUGGGGCCAUGGACUCCUCUCACCCAUCUGGCCCUGAUCUCCCACUCCUAGAGGUUUCUAUGAACUCUGGAAUGUUCUUCUCUGCUGCCCAUAUCAAAAUCCUCCUAGUCUCUGCUCACCAAGCCUCUGGCUCAUCACCACCCCAGCUCAGCCCUGCGGAUCGUAAUUACAUUGGGAGAGCGCUGUGGGCUAUUUUACUUCUUCUUUUGGGGAAUAUUUCCUGAACCAACUGUCUAGUGAGGUUAAUGUUGUAUAGUUGAACUUUUUUUUUGUAUAUGUAAGGAUGCUCCUUUCUGUUUCUAAUCCAUCGUAAUCAUCAGUAAAUUGCCACUGUGCACAGAUUUAAUCUUUUUCAAAGUGUUCCUUCAAUACAUCCACCUCGGCAUUAAACUUAGG